UCAGACUCACAAUCGGCCUCCGAAUUAAAGUGCGCAUGUCGCGGGGCAGACUUACGAGAACCUCGGAUUAAGUUGUACGGGAGCUGGAGUAAACCAACGCCAGCCCAGACAUGGAGGACGGAGUCGCUUCCGACCACGGCGAUCGAGCUCACCUCAGGAGAUCGAGAUCCCGCAGCCCCGGCCUUCCGGCCCGACCCCGGGUUUCUAGUUUUCUUCGUGGUCCGUCAUUCUCUACCAGCGCGUCCAGAAGCGGCCUCGGGUCCGGUUUAGCCUAAGCCGGGGACAGAGAUCGGAUGAUUGAUGAUUGUAUCACUUCCAGCACAAAUCAAACGGUACGACCCCCAUCUAAUGGGCUAAUAAAUUAAAUAUCAGCGCGCGCGGCACACACACCGCACCACUCCACACGAAUCCGGCACGCCGGGAAUGAAAGCCGGGUCGGGUUUGCAAUCAAUCAGAAGUGUAUAAGUCACACGGGCUGUCAGUAUAUCAUGCUACCUAUACCCGGGACACCCGGGCCCGGCACGCCCGGUAGCCGCAAUAAGGUCUGGAAAGUAACGAAAAACAAAAACAAACAAAAUUAACGACCACAAAUAAUGAUGCACGCUCGAAGACAGUUUCGGUUUCAGGCUUCGUUAGACACACCACCACCAGAGAGAGAGCCGCGUCUUUUGCCUCCGUGGAGCGGAUUACGGCGAACUGACGUCUUCGAUUAGGCCGGUGCAUAUAAUACGGCGGAUCGUUCUCUCCGGCAUAGGUCCCCUGGUCCCCGCUGGUAGGUAGAAGCGAUGGACCUGAGAUAAGCGGCGUACCGUAUGUUCCGGCUGAUGGCUGGGAAUUACAAAAAGGCAACAAAAAGAAAAAAAAGGAGAAACCGCGAUGAGACGAGAGCGCUGUAUCAUAUUGUGAAAGUUCAAUGGGGUAUCGAAAACGAGGAAGAUGGAAGAUCAAACUUUCAAAUGAUAAAACACACACUAGAACAAAACGAUCGGAGCGAGUAAAAAGAAGAGCCAAAAAGAAACAAACCAUAACAAAACCAAACAUGAAAUGUUAAAAAAAAAAGUAAAAAAAUUAAGGAAAUCGAGAUGAAACGCAACGUGAACCUGCAGACUGAUAGCGCUCAGAGUUGCCAAGAAAUCACGCUGGGAAUUUUAACUGACAGUAACAAAAGAGAUUCCUUUAAAUACCCCAACAACAACAACAGCAACGGUCGCUCGGACCAGAACCCCUCGGACCUCGGAUACCCGGGCGGACGACUCCUCCUAGUUGGCGUUUAGCGUUUCGGUCUUCGGCCCGGUUUGCCGUUCUUGUUUCGCCGUUGUGCUGUUGUUACUCCGGUGCCGGUUUAACGUUACUUAUCAUCAAUUUGCAUGCUGCGCCCAGAUUGUAAAUACCACCAAUCAAGAACGCUGGCACAGAUCGGAUUCCAGAAACAACCCCGGGAGGGGACUGAGCCCGACCUGCUACGGGACAAACUGGCCUUCACACCGUCCUCACGUAGAAUGACGACCUUGGAAUGUUACUGUUGUUGCUGUUGCACCAAUCAUAACCAUAACGUCGAGGCUGCAUGUUGCGCCGAAUUGCCCAGCGGCGAUGGCUCGAUGGCGCUUAUGUUAAUACUUCCUACGCUGCGUUGUUGGCGAUACUGCUGAGCUGCCACCUGAGAAAAAUUAGGCCUGAGUAAGGGGAAGGAUACAGGAAAGUUUUAUGAUCUUGCAAGGCAGGCCCAAGAUCAUCUCAUUCGGAAAUUAAUGUUCGAAAGUUGAACCAAAACAAAAAACGAGAGCAUCAACACCUAGAACUGCCUAGAUUGCCCUAGAGAACCUUCUACAGACUUCACGUACUAACGGUGAGCAGAUUGUAGAAACCUUGCUAGCUAAA